rnacentral:lncRNA from 1 species
ACUGUAGCACCCUGCUUGUGGUUAACGCUUAGCUGGAAUGAAAUAUUCAACGCAGCAAUAGAGAAAUUAAAAUAAUAAUUUAUUUGUCAGACAAAUAAAUGAGAGACACAGUGGUAUAUGGAUACCAAAGCUCUGCCUACUCCAGCCCUGAUGGCCAGCACUUAUAUUUCCUCAGCCCAGCCCCCUUGCUCCUCCUUUGGCUGCCUCUGUCCAAUCAGCCUGGUUGAAAUUCCUAUUGGCUGUUUGCUAGAACCAAUCAUAAAAGAUACACCCAUUUCCUAUUCCCUUUUAUGGGAGACAAAAAGCUAUAUUUCCUUGUAUCCAUAAAUGGCAGACAAGUAGCCAUAUAUCUUACAUUUACCUCGACCAGGCACCUCAAUUACCAGAUAACCUUUGGCCCCUGUUGCCCUAUUCACCGCAAACCAGAUGGCUAAAGCAGAUGGUGCAUGGUUUCUAAUUUUUUUAUCUUAAAGAGAUCUUGAGUUCACCUUCUCACCCACCAUAAUAGGAAUCUAACAUAAGAAUCUAACAUUUCUUACUUUCUAAAUCCUUUGCAUAAUCACAUUUAAGCCAAUAUAUUUCAUACAUAACAUAGAUAGAUUUUUAGAAGGAAAGGCCUUUUCAAAUUAGAAGGAACUUAGUGAAAGCUAAGUUCCUAAGUUCUAUAAAGAAACCUUUUCCCUAUCCAGCAGCUGUUUCUAAGAGCAACCUCUUCCAUUUAACCUUUAACCUUAUGGCUCGAGUCUUCUGUUAAACAAUAAAUUUCACUAUUUACCAGUUCUUAAUUGUGUUUUUACAGCUUGAUUGUAUUCUGGUCAGUGUGACCUUUUGCUCUCUGGCUCUAAUUUCCUUUUACAACCUUGAAAUACUUUUAUUUAUAGCAGUGGGGCCCCUUGAACAGCUGCCGGAGUAUUCAGCUGCUCUUCUCCCUUGCAUGAGAGAAAUAUAUUUACAAAUAUAAUUUUUUUAAGCUCAAAGCAGAUUUUGAUCAGAUGCCUCAUUCCCCCCUUUCAAGCUCAAGGACCUUCAUCCCAAGUGUCCUUGAUAGCUUGACCUUCGUCAUAUUCCUGAGGUAAAGCUCUGUAUAGGGCCAUAAUAUGAGGUAAAGUUUCAUUUGAAAUCAUCUUGCUAAUUGUACUUCUAAAACAUGAAAUGAUACAUGGCACCGUACAUAAAACCAUUACUACUACCGUCAAGAAAAACAAGCAAGACAAUAGUAUCCCUUUGAGUCCCGCAACAUUAGGUAACCAAUUGGUGAGCCAUCCCAUAUCCCAUCCUUCCCAUAUUUGUACUGGGACAUGUGCUAUACUCUCCAUCUUUGUGGCCAACACACGGAUUGCCUCACCAUUAUCAGAAAUGUUAAAGCAACAGGCAUUCCCUGUCAAGUUUAAGACUCCACAUAGGCCUCCCUGCCUGGCAAGUACAUAAUCCAUUCCCAUUUUCAGCUGCAAAAUGGCGGCUCUACUUUCAUCCAACUGUUGUGCAAUAAGUCUCAAACUCUGGGCCGUUGCAUUGGUUACAAGUUCCACUACUGCUUGCAAUCGAAUUAUUCUGUUUAGAUUAUAAAUAGGAUCCCGUGCCCCUUGUAUGAGCUCAUCAGGAUUCCAGGAGGCAGGCUCAUAAUAGGCUAUAAUGCGCUCUGGUGGCCAAUCAUCAGUAUCACUCCAACUUUGGGUACUUCCUCCUGCUAUAUGAGAAAUAUCAGCAUUUCUUCGUGUACGCUUUGCCGAACUAGUGGGCAUAAUCCACAUUGGUGGUAAUACCCAUCCCAGGAAACAAGUCCCACUCCAUUUGGGAGGGAGUUGCUUGUAUGCCCAUUCUCCACAUAUCCACCACAACCAUCGGGUCUGAGGUUUUUGGUACGUGGAGUGCAUAAGGCGAAAUAUCAAAAGGGGCAUAGAGUUCACAGUGCAGUAUGUUAGAUUGCCUUUUUCUGUCACAGUUAUGUUCCACACCAGUUUCCAUGCAUGAAUAAAAGGAGGUGCACAGGGCAAGGUAUUCCGAGUUCGAUAGGUAGUACCGUUUGCCCAGGUUUGACUAUUCUUAAUAUAAUCCCAAGUAUAGUGGCAAUGAGAAGAGCCUAUCAUGAUAGAAUCAGCUGCAGCUGAUAAUUUAUGUACACAGAAUUCCCCUUGCACAGGUAUAACUCGUAUUGGUUUAGUUGAGUUCCAUCCGGGGAAAUUCUGUACUUCUGUUUGGUGUGGCAUUUCGCUUACCAUACCAAUGGCAUUUAAUGGUAUCGGUAAUAAGGGCAUACCUCCCUCUGAAUCAUCUGGUCCAAGAGAGCAAACAAGGCAAUUGGUCCUAUUUGUAACAUUGGCUACCAUCUCAGCUAAGCCUACCCACAUAUUGUGGUCAUGGCGGAAUCCAUAUUUAGCAAAUUUGGUCAGAUUCAAGGACCCUUCCCCUUCCCAAGGGAUCAGGAUUAAUAAUAAAAUCAUGUUGAUGUCUAGUAUAUGCAUUUCUUCCACAAAAGAUUACCUUAUUGUGAUAACAAAAAAUAUUAGGCCCAAUAUAAUUCCCCAAUGACAGAAAUGGGGAACCACCAAGACCAAAACAUAUAUCCCGAGGAUCCCCAAUGAGUAAUAUCCCUGAUAAUUGUUCCACGGGGGGCAGUCAAUCAAUUGUAUAAGAGAAUCUUCCUGUUCACAAUCGCUGGUUCAGACGCUCCUCAAGCUUCAGGCGUGCGCAGGUCAGCCAGCUUCCAGGUUGUGGCUGCAGCAGGCCAGUCGUCUAAUGUUGCCCGUGACCUAGCCCGUUCCCCGUAGGGCUAGAUACAGGGGGUUUUGGAGAGAGUCAGUUUAAAAGGAUUAGAGGGGUCACCUUUGCACGUCCAACUGCCUUCGGACUUCUUCAAACGGGAGUGAUGAAUCCAGGGGUCACCUCAGCUACCUUCACCGCUGUUGGAGUAGAGAGCAAGACGGUGUAAGGCCCACGCCACUUAGGUGCAAGUGGAUCACGUUUCCACUCUUUCACCCAUACGCUAUCGCCAGCCUGGAACUGAUGAAUCGGCUCGGCAAUGCUGCACGGCGUGCGCUCGAGGGCCCACCUGUUAAGAGAAACAAAAACACGGGAGAGAGAUUGCACUUGUCCCUGUGUCACAUGGUCUCCUAUUUGUUUGAGGUCAGCUGAAAUAUCCUGAACAAAGGAGGGUGGCCUCCCAUACAGGAGCUCAAAAGGUGACAACUUAAGUCUUUUUGUGGGUGCACACCGAACACGAAACAGUGUUAUGGGUAACACAUCUACCCAUCCCAAUCCUGUUUCCUGGGUUAAUUUUGCCAAUUGGGUUUUCAGAGUCCGAUUCAUUCUUUCAGUUUUCCCCGAACUUUGAGGCCUAUAUGCUGCAUGCAGUCUCCAUUUCACUUGUAGGACUCGACAUACUUCUUGUACUACUUGAUCAAUGAACGCUGGCCCAUUAUCACUUCCAAUGCAUCUAGGUAAUCCAAACCUCGGGAUCAAUUCAGUGAGGAGUCUCUUAGUUACCUCUCGUGCCUUUUCAGUCCUGGUGGGAAAAGCUUCAACCCAUCCGGUAAGGGUAUCUACAAACACAAGGAGGUACUUGAAUCCCUUAGAAGGGACCAGCUCUGUGAAGUCCACAAUUAGGCUUUCCAUGGGGACGUAUCCCACAUGUUGGAUUCCAGGAGGUUGUACCGGUCCCUGCCUGGGAUUGUUUUUAGCACAAAGAACACAUUUCUGUGAAAUGCAAGUUGCUAAUUGUGAUAGGUUAAUAAUAUACAACUUCCGACUAAGACUCUCUCUGGUUGCAGUACCACCAAGGUGAGUAGAUUCAUGAUAAUUUCUUACAAUUGUGCCUGCUAGGUGAUGAGGUACAUAAAUCCUAUUGUCCGGCAGGAUCAUCCAACCGUCCUUCACAACCGCUCCUUCCUGUUCAGCCCACUUCCUCUCUUCUGGGGUAUAGUGAGGUUUAAUUUCUUCUGGAACUACCUCUGGUAUGAGGGCUGCUAUAAAUCCUCCCACAGGCUUCUGGGCUGCCUCUCGGGCUGCUUUGUCAGCAGCAUGAUUUCCUCUGGUUAUUGGAUCCCUUCCACGUCCAUGACCUUUGCAGUGCAUUACAGCAAUCUGUUCUGGAGCCCAUACUGCUUCCAACAGGAUUUCUACUUCAGGUCCAUAUUUCAAGGCCUUCCCAUGGGCUCCGAUUAGACCUCUUUCUUUCCAUAGAGCUCCAUGUGCAUGCAGGGUUAAGAAGGCAUAUUUAGAAUCAGUAUAGAUGUUUGCCUUACAUCCGGCUGCCAAUUGCAGAGCUCUAGUUAAACCUAUAAGUUCAGCCUUUUGUGCUGAGGUGCCAGCAGGCAAAGCUUCAGCUUCCACAACUUCCUCAUUGGUGACCACAGCAUAUCCUGCUCGUCUGGCACCUUCAUGCAGGUAACUGCUACCAUCAGUAUAAUAUACAACAUCUGGAUUUUUCAAUGGUUCAUCUUUCAGAUCGGGUCUACUGGAAUACACUUCAUCCAUUAUUUGGAGACAAUCAUGUGAUUCUUCAUCAUCUACCUCUGGUAGGGGCAGCAAAGUUGCUGGAUUGAGCAUAUUCACUACUCGUAGAUGAAUCCUGGGAUUUUCACACAAUAGGCCUUGGUAUCUAGCCAUCCUUGGAUUCGUUAGCCAAUAACUACCCUUAUAUUCCAUGAGUGUCAGAACAGCAUGAGGUACAUUCACAUACAUCGUCUGGCCAAAGGUAAAUUUAUCAGC